rnacentral:rRNA from 1 species
GAUGAACGCUAGCGGCAGGCUUAACACAUGCAAGUCGUGGGGCAGCGCGGGGUAGCAAUACUCUGGCGGCGACCGGCAAACGGGUGCGGAACACGUACGCAACCUUCCUCAAAGCGGGGAAUAGCCUCUCGAAAGAGAGAUUAAUACCCCAUAGUACCUCGAAACCGCAUGGUUUUGGGGUUAAAGCUCCGGCACUUUGAGAUGGGCGUGCGGCUGAUUAGGUAGUUGGUAGGGUAACGGCCUACCAAGC